rnacentral:rRNA from 1 species
GGCCGAGCGGUAGAGAUCUUUCGGGAUCUUGAGAGCGGCGUACGGGUGCGGAACACGUGUGCAACCUGCCUUUAUCUGGGGGAUAGCCUUUCGAAAGGAAGAUUAAUACCCCAUAAUAUACUGGAUGGCAUCAUUCGGUAUUGAAAACUCCGGUGGAUAGAGAUGGGCACGCGCAAGAUUAGAUAGUUGGUGAGGUAACGGCUCACCAAGUCUACGAUCUUUAGGGGGCCUGAGAGGGUGAUCCCCCACACUGGUACUGAGACACGGACCGGUAUUGAAAACUCCGGUGGAUAGAGAUGGGCACGCGCAAGAUUAGAUAGUUGGUGAGGUAACGGCUCACCAAGUCUACGAUCUUUAGGGGGCCUGAGAGGGUGAUCCCCCACACUGGUACUGAGACACGGACCAGACUCCUACGGGAGGCAGCAGUGAGGAAUAUUGGACAAUGGGUGAGAGCCUGAUCCAGCCAUCCCGCGUGAAGGACGACGGCCCUAUGGGUUGUAAACUUCUUUUGUAUAGGGAUAAACCUACCCUCGUGAGGGUAGCUGAAGGUACUAUACGAAUAAGCACCGGCUAACUCCGUGCCAGCAGCCGCGGUAAUACGGAGGGUGCAAGCGUUAUCCGGAUUUAUUGGGUUUAAAGGGUCCGUAGGCGGAUCUGUAAGUCAGUGGUGAAAUCUCACAGCUUAACUGUGAAACUGCCAUUGAUACUGCAGGUCUUGAGUGUUGUUGAAGUAGCUGGAAUAAGUAGUGUAGCGGUGAAAUGCAUAGAUAUUACUUAGAACACCAAUUGCGAAGGCAGGUUACUAAGCAACAACUGACGCUGAUGGACGAAAGCGUGGGGAGCGAACAGGAUUAGAUACCCUGGUAGUCCACGCCGUAAACGAUGCUAACUCGUUUUUGGAGCGCAAGCUUCAGAGACUAAGCGAAAGUGAUAAGUUAGCCACCUGGGGAGUACGAACGCAAGUUUGAAACUCAAAGGAAUUGACGGGGGCCCGCACAAGCGGUGGAUUAUGUGGUUUAAUUCGAUGAUACGCGAGGAACCUUACCAAGGCUUAAAUGGGAAAUGACAGGUUUAGAAAUAGACUUUUCUUCGGACAUUUUUCAAGGUGCUGCAUGGUUGUCGUCAGCUCGUGCCGUGAGGUGUUAGGUUAAGUCCUGCAACGAGCGCAACCCCUGUCACUAGUUGCCAUCAUUAAGUUGGGGACUCUAGUGAGACUGCCUACGCAAGUAGAGAGGAAGGUGGGGAUGACGUCAAAUCAUCACGGCCCUUACGCCUUGGGCCACACACGUAAUACAAUGGCCGGUACAGAGGGCAGCUACACUGCGAAGUGAUGCAAAUCUCGAAAGCCGGUCUCAGUUCGGAUUGGAGUCUGCAACUCGACUCUAUGAAGCUGGAAUCGCUAGUAAUCGCGCAUCAGCCAUGGCGCGGUGAAUACGUUCCCGGGCCUUGUACACACCGCCCGUCAAGCCAUGGAAGUCUGGGGUACCUGAAGUCGGUGACCGUAACAGGAGCUGCCUAGGGUAAAACAGGUAACUAGGGCUAAGUCGUAACAAGGUAGCCGUACCGGAAGGUGCGGCUGGAACAUCUCAUUUUAGA